rnacentral:rRNA from 1 species
UACGUAGGGGGCAAGCGUUGUCCGGAAUCAUUGGGCGUAAAGAGCGUGUAGGCGGCCCCGAUAAGUCCGCUGUGAAAAGUCCAGGGCUCAACCCUGGAAUGCCAGUGGAAACUGUCGGGCUAGAGUCCGGAAGAGGCGAGUGGAAUUCCUGGUGUAGCGGUGAAAUGCGCAGAUAUCAGGAGGAACACCAAUGGCGAAGGCAGCUCGCUGGGACGGUUACUGACGCUGAGACGCGAAAAGCGUGGGGGGAGCAAAACAGG